CACUCAGCACCACCUGUGCUUCCCCUAAGGAAGCCUCUUGCCUUUGGUCGCGUGGAGCCGGGUCCUGUGUGUGUCGAGGCAGGACGCACGUCAUUUUCGUGGGAAAUGGAAGUUUCCUGGAUUGUGUUACACACAGCAUUUGAUCAGGAUUAGCUCCAGCGGAGAGUGUCAGGAAUCUGGCUGGGAAGGCUAUGAUGUAGAAGGGGUAUAUAACAAACUGAGGGCUACAACAGAC
rnacentral:lncRNA from 1 species